rnacentral:lncRNA from 1 species
UGGAAUCAGAAGAGCCAGCGUUUGAUCUGGCGGCUGUUAGAGGGUCAGUUCACAUCCCUCUGCCCCUCCAGGUCUUAGUUCCCCCAUUGAUCUAAACUUUCAGGACAUUGGGUUCCAGCUAGAACUCUUUACUCGGGCCCUCCUGACCUGUGAUUAAGUCUGGAGUGGACAGAGCCCACAGGCUGCCUGGGGUCAUCCAUGUAGUGCGUCUGAGAGCCUGCAAACUCCCCAGAAGCCUGGGAAUAUAUAUAGUCACAUGCUGCAUAAUUAAUGUCAGUUGACAACAGACCACAUAUACAACAAUGGACCCAUAGGAUUAUAUUGCCUCAGGUCCUUGUAACCACCUUAGCUUAUGUAAGUAUACUAUGCGACAUUCACACAAGAAUGCAAUCAUCCUGUGAUGCAGUUCUCAGAACAUGCCCCUUGAAUAACAUGCAUUAUUCAAGGCGUGAUUAUAUAAGCAAUCAUAUACUAAUAUUCCUUGACUUAUGUUAGGGUCCAUUCCAACAGCUCCAUUGUAAGUUGACAGUAUUGUAAUUUGAAAAUGCAUUUGAUACAUUGAAUCUAACAAAUAUCAUAGCUUAGCACUAUGGUAUAGUAGAGUACUGGUUGUUUACCCUCCUGCUUGCAUCUCUUGCUGCUAUUGCCCAACAUCACAAGGGAGUAUUGUAUUGCUAGCCCAGAAAAAAAUUUCAAAAUUCCAAAUUCUAGUGUGGUUUCUACUGAAUGCAUACUGCUUAUACACCAUUGUUACUCAGAACAUCAUAAGUCAAACUAUCAUAAAUUGAGGACCAUCUGUUAUCAACAAGGAAUUGUCUCUGUAAUAAAUAAGAGAUCUUAUAACUUGACAACAAAAUCACUAAUUUAAAAACACACAAAGGAUCUGAAUAGACUUUUCUUCAAAAAAUAUAUAUACAAAUGUCCAAUAAGCACAUGAGAAGACGCUCAACAUCACUAGCCCCUGGGAGGUAUAAAAAACAAAAUCACAAUAAUAAUAUUGUGGUUUAAUAAUGCCCCUUCACAUCCACAGGAAAGGCUAGAAUAAAAAAGAUAAUAGUGAGUGUUAGGAGGUGUAUGUAGGGAAUUGGAACCCUCACGCAUUGCUGGUAGAAUUGUAUGAUGUAGUUAUUUUGGAAAACAGUUUGACAAUUCCUAUGAAAGUUAAGAAAGUUAAGAAUAAAGUUACCAUUGGUAUAUAAAACUA